ensembl:lncRNA
ACCUUAAGAGAUUAUUCUGAACAACUAUGUCCGAACAGACUGGACACCCUAAGAGAAAUGGAUCAAUUCCCAGAAACAUUCAGUCUUCCAAGACUUAAUCAGGAGGAAAUCUGAACAGACUGAUUAUUAGUAAUGAAGUUGAAUCAAUAAUAUAUAGAGGAGUUCCUACUGUGGCUCUGUGGGUCAAGAACUCGACUAGUAUCCAUGAGGAUGCAGGUUUGAUCCCUGGCCUUUCCCAGUGGGUUAAAGGAUCUGGCAUUGCUGUGAGCUGUGGUGUAGGUUGCAGAUGUGGCUCGGAUCUGGUGUUGCUGUGGCUGUGGCAUAGGCCAAAAGCUGCAGCUCCAAUUCAACCCCUAGACUGGGAACUUCCACAUGUCACAGGUGUGGCCCUAAAAAAACAAACAAAAAACAUAAUAAUAAUAAAUAUAUAAUAUUCCAUUAUAUUUGUACACAUGUAUAUAUAUGUAAAUAUAAUGGAAUAUUUUCAACCAUGAAAGAACCAAAUAUUGCCAUUUGGAGCAACAUGGAUGAACUUAGAGAAUAUUAUGCUUUAUAAAGUUUAAAAUACUGUAUGAUAUCACUUAUAUAUGGAAUCUGAAAAAUAAUGCAGAUGAUUAUAUAUACAAAACAGAAAAAGACAGAUGUAGGAAACAAACUUAUGGUUACCAAAGGUAAGAGAGAGAGACAACUUAGAAGUAUGAGAUUAAUAGAUACAAACUGCUCUACAUAAAAUAGAUAAGCAACAAGGAUUUAUGUAUUGCACAGAGAAUUAUACCCAAUAUCUUGUAAUAACUUAUAAAGGAAUAUAUUCUACAAAAAACCCGAAUUAUUGUGCUGUACACCUGAAACUAACACAGUAUUGUAAAUUGACUAUAGUUCAAUAAAAAUAAAUAAAUAAAAUUUUAAAAGGAAAUGAAAAACAUCAUAUCAUCUCUGUAGAUGUGGGAAAAGCCUUUGACAAAAUUCAACAUCCAUUUAUGAUAAAAACUGUUAACAAAGUGAGCAUAAAGAGAACACACCUUAAUGUAAUAAAGGCACAUAUGACAAACUCACAGCUAACAUAAUACUUGCUGGUGAAAAGCUUAAGGCUUUUUAUCAGAGAUCAGGAACAAGACAGGAUACUCUUGCCACUUCUAUUCAACACAGUAUUGAAAGUCCUAGCCACAGCAGUCAGACAUGAAAAAGAGAUAAAAGGCAACCAAAUUGGAAAUGAAGUAAAACUGUCACUGUUUGCAGAUGAUGUGAUACUCUAUAUAAACCUGAAGGGCUCCACAGAAAGACUAUUAAAACUAAUAAAUGAAUUCAGUAAUGUUGCAGAGUACAAAAUCAAAAUACAGAAAUCUAUUGUGUUUCUAUAGAUUAAUAAUGAACUAUCAGAGAAAUUAAGAUAGUCCCAUUUAUAAUCAAAUCAAAAUGAAUAAAAUACCUAGGAAUAAGUUUAACCAAGAAGGUGAAAGACCUGUACCCUGAAAAAGAGAAGACAUAGAUGAAAGAAACUAAAGACGUCAUGAAUAAAUGAGAAAAAAAAGAUAUACCAUGCUUAUUAGAAUUAAUAUUUUUAAAAUGUACAUACAACCCAUAGCAUUCUGUAGAUUCAAAGCAGAACCUAUUAAGAUAUCAAUGGCAUUUUUUUCAAAGAACUGAAAUAAGUAAUUCUAAAAUUUGUAUAGAACCAAAAAACCCUAAAUAGUCAAAGCAAUCUAAAGAAAGAAGAACAAAGCUGGAGGUAUCACUCUUCCUGAUUUCAAACUGUACCACAAAGCUAAAUUAAUCCAAAGUAUGGCAGAAAUGGAAACAAUAAUUUGAAAGGAUAUAUAUGGACCCAUAUGUUGAUUGAAGCAUUAUUUGCAAUAGCCAAGAUUUGGAAGCAGCUCAAGUGUCCAUCAAUAGAUGGAUAAAGAAAAUAUGGUAUAUUUAUGCAAUGGAAUAUUACUCAGUCAUAAAAUGAAUAAAAUCUUGCCACAUGGGACAACAAUGGAUGGACCUUGAGGAAGUUAUGCUAAGUGAGAUAAGUCAGACAGAGAAAGAUAAAUACUUUAUGAUUUCACUGAUAUGUGGAAUCUAAAAAACAAAACAAAUGAACAAAGAAAUCCAACAGAAACAGGCUCAUAGAAGUUCCCAUUGUGGCUCAGCAGUAACAAGCCCGACUAGCAUCCAUGAAGAUGAGGGUUUGAUCCCUUGCCUUGCUCAGUGGGUUGGAUCUGGCAUGGCUGUGAGCUGUGGUAUAGGGUGCAGAUGUGGCUUGAAUCCCUCGUUGCUGGGGCUGUGGUAUAGGCCAGCAGCUGUAGCUCCGAUUCCACCCCUAGCCUGGGAACUUCCUUAAGACACGGGUGUGACCCUAAAAAGCAAAAAAAG